AUUGAACGCUGGCGGCAGGCCUAACACAUGCAAGUCGAGCGAGCGGCGGACGGGUGAGUAAUGUCUGGGAAACUGCCUGAUGGAGGGGGAUAACUACUGGAAACGGUAGCUAAUACCGCAUACCAUCAGAUGGUCCCAGAUGGGAUUAGCUAGUAGGUUGGGUAAUGUCUCACCUAGGCGACGAUCCCUAGCUGGUCUGAGAGGAUGACCAGCCACACUGGAAUUGAUACUCGGUCCAGAAUCCUACGUGAGCCAGCAGUGGGGAAUAGUGCACAAUGGGCGCAAGCCUGAGUCAGCCAGGCCGCGUGUGUGAAGAAGGCCUUCGGGUUGUAAAGCACUUUCAGCGGGGAGGCGUUACCCGCAGAAGAAGCACCGGCUAACUCCGUGCCAGCAGCCGCGGUAAUAC
rnacentral:rRNA from 1 species